rnacentral:rRNA from 1 species
GAUGAACGCUGGCGGCGUGCCUAAUACAUGCAAGUCGAGCGAACAGAUAAGGAGCUUGCUCCUUUGACGUUAGCGGCGGACGGGUGAGUAACACGUGGGUAACCUACCUAUAAGACUGGGAUAACUUCGGGAAACCGGAGCUAAUACCGGAUAACAUUUGGAACCGCAUGGUUCUAAAGUGAAAGAUGGUUUUGCUAUCACUUAUAGAUGGACCCGCGCCGUAUUAGCUAGUUGGUAAGGUAACGGCUUACCAAGGCGACGAUGCGUAGCCGACCUGAGAGGGGGAUCGGCCACCCGGGAACUGAGACACGGUCCAGACUCCUACGGGAGGCAGCAGUAGGGAAUCUUCCGCAAUGGGCGAAAGCCUGACGGAGCAACGCCGCGUGAGUGAUGAAGGGUUUCGGCUCGUAAAACUCUGUUAUUAGGGAAGAACAAAUGUGUAAGUAACUGUGCACGUCUUGACGGUACCUAAUCAGAAAGCCACGGCUAACUACGUG